GGGGAUAUUGCGCAAUGGGGGAAACCCUGACGCAGCAACGCCGCGUGAAGGGAGAAGGUCUUCGGAUUGUAAACUUUUGUCUUUGGGGAAGAAAAAAAUGACGGUACCCAAGGAGGAAGCCACGGCUAACUCCGUGCCAGCAGCCGCGGUAAUCCGUAGGUGGCAAGCGUUGUCCGGAUUUACUGGGUGUAAAGGGCGUGUAGACGGGACUUAAAGUCAGAUGUGAAAUACCGCAGCUCAACUGCGGGGCUGCAUUUGAAACUUAAGUUCUUGAGUGGAGGAGAGGAAAGCGGAAUUCCUAGUGUAGCGGUGAAAUGCGUAGAUAUUAGGAGGAACACCGGUGGCGAAGGCGGCUUUCUGGACUGUAACUGACGUUGAGGCGCGAAAGCGUGGGUAGCAAACA
rnacentral:rRNA from 1 species